GAGCGCCGGAUGCGGUGAGAGUCGCAUGUCCGGUGCGGAGGGCGGGCCGGGGAAACGGGCUGGUCACAAGGCCAGUACCGCGCCCCGGUCCGACCCCUAC
rnacentral:ncRNA from 1 species